UCCUUGGUGGUCCAGUGGCCAAGACUCUGCAUUCUCAAUGCAGGGGGCCUGGGUUCAAUUCCUGGUCAGGGAA
rnacentral:tRNA from 1 species